UAGUUUCAUAUGCUUUAUUUUUUACUGUAGUAAAUGAAAAAUAUAGCCCCAUCAAACCAGAAAAUUGAAUCUUGCUUGAGGACAAUAAUUAAAAUUCUUCUUAAAUCAUCAAAGUCCAGGGCUUCCUUCAAAUGUAAACUUUUCUUUUUUAAAAAAGUGUGUCCUUGCUAUUUUUACAUACCAUCCGUUAUCCCCAUAAUUACAUAUCACCCUUAAAAUAUGGCAAGAAUCUCAGAAAAAAACAUGGACAUUCUUAGUAGCCUCUGUAAAAUAAUUUAUUUUUAGGUGUAAUAAUUAACAGCAAUAUAUCUAUAGUAUUAAAAUUUACAAAUCAUUGUUAGAACUGAGCAAUUCAUAGGUAACCAAUAAGGGAGGAAAGGAAUUAGAAAGCAACCAAGAAAAACAGCUGUAAGAAUAUGGAGAUAUUCUUCAUAUGCAAUAAGGUGGCAAAUUUAUUCAAAAAAGCAUGAUAAAUAUAAAGGAUGAGUAUAUUAUAAUAUACAUGUGCACAUAUUAAAUGUUUGAAAUCACAAAUUAUGAUUUAUUUUCUCAACUAAACUGUUACUAUAGAAUCAUAAAAAGGAAGAGAAUCUUGAUGAUUUUUCCAUUAGAGUAUACCAUGUUAGAUCUGGCAGAUGACUUUUCACUUUUUAUAGUGCUCCAAAAAUUGGUACACUUCCCUUUGCCUUUUGGAGACAUCACUGACUUUGAUAUUCAGAGUGGUAAAAUCAUGAUAUAAAAAUUCUUGCCCAUUGAAACUCAAUUAUCCUAUUUACUUGAUUUUUAGUCCCUUUCUUCAUUUUCCUUAUUUAGAUAUUAAUCUCUACUAAACAACCAUUACUCUAUUUAAAAAAUUUAAGUCUACAGCUUGAAUAAUCACAGCUCUAUUAAUAUUGGAUAUUAGGACCUCCCCGCAAUUUUUACUCCUAUAUGAUAUCAGAAAUAUUAGUAUCUUCUUCAAGGGAAAUGGGAAAAUUAUGUGAGUUUUAAAAGGGGUUUAUAUUUCUUUCUUAAAUUAGUAUUCAGAGUGCCCCAUAAUUCUGUUCUCAUAUAAGCAUUUCUCCUGUACAAUUUAAAAUCUGUUUUUUGAGAUUAAUUUUUUAAAUGAGUCUUCUUAGAACAUCUUGCUUUGGAGUUUGGGAGUUAAAUCCUUUCAUUAAAUGUUUAAAAAGAAUAUAUAUUCUGAUGUCUUGGGAUAGAACGUUCUAUAAAUGGCAGUUAGGUCAAGAUGGAUGAAAGUAUUGUUCAUGUCUUCUAUAUCCCUACUGAUUUAAGGCUACAGUUUUUAAAGACUGAUAGGGAGGGACUUGACGCCAGAAUCCUGAAGGAUAAAGUAAGGUAAAAAAGUGUGUAGAAAGACAGUAUAGAUCAGUGCUUCUCAAACUUUAAUGUGCAUAUGACUCACCUGGGGAAUUUAUUAAAAUUCAUAUUCUGCAUUUUAUAUCAGAGAUAAAAAAGAAUUCUGUUUGGGCAUAGAAGUUGUUUUCACCUGCCUCUGAGAUACUUGCUUCUAUACUAGCACAAUGGCAGCAUUGUUGGUUGUUCACCCCAUCCCCAUUCUUCUCUUUUUCCUAACAGCAACCCUUUUUUUAUUUGGAGUGGCAAAAUGUCACUAUAAAAGGAAAAAAAUCCCUCACCUUCCUAGCCUCCCUUGUAGUUAGGGUAACCAUAUGACAAAGAUCUGGCCAAUGGCAUUCAAGCAGUAUAUUUUGCCAGUAUAGUCUGCUGGUUAUAGUUGGGAAAGCAUUUAUUUUUCCCAUAUGAUAAUCUCACUUUCCUAUUUCAUCUUUCUUUAUUCUAAUUAGAUGGAAAAUAUGAGUCACGAGAUGACAGGCAAAUUAUUAGAACAAAAGGAUGGCAAAGAGAAAAUAGUGGCCUGGGUACUGGGUCACUUCUUUGAGUAGGUGCCCCAGUCUGAACUGCCUUGCUUUUCACUUUUCUGUUCUUUUCUCUCGAGAUAAAUGAACUCCUCCUGCCUGUUAAAGCCACUGGCAGUCAGAGUUUCCAGUGCUUAUAGCCAAAUACCAUUCUAACUGAUGUACUCACCAAUAAUAAUCGUAACUUCCUUUCAUAUGACACUUCAUGGUUUCUUCAUCAGCAUUAUGUGUGACACAAGCAAAAACAAAAACAAAAAAACUGCCAAUGUAUCUAUUUCAAGACAUCCCCAGAAUUCUGUUAUUAAAUAGCAUUGAUGAGGCAGUCAGCCAGAAUGUUUAAGCUGUCCUAAAUUACUGCCUCCUCUGUGUUUAGGGAGUCUGCUCUUGGUCUUACAAGUCCAAAAGCAGAAUAUUACAAAUUCACAUAGAAGUGAUCAGGAUCUAGAGACUUGAUUUAUGCCAUGCAGAUUCACAGGGCAUUUGUUUAUAAAAUUUGUGCUGGAAGAUUACUUGUGAACUAGGGCCAAACCCUUAAUUAUGACUAGGGAAACCCAGAAGAUAAAGUUGCAUUAAAAGCCUGCUUGAUGGAAACAGAAACAUACAAAAGAUGGCCUUACAGGGAAAAAGUUAAAGUGUUACCACAAAUGUAUACAUGAAAUGACCAAUAAUUUUAUUUUAUAUUUCAAAUAACUAGAAUUGUACAGAGUUUAAUUUUACAGCUUUAGGGCAAGGAUAAACUCAUUUUUAUUUUUGCAGUAAAAGGUAUAAAUAUUGAAAAUUAUGUAGGUUUAAAACUUUACUAUGAUAUAGACACAUUCUCAAAUUAAUGAAUUUUACUGAGCUUUUUAUAUCAAACUUACUGAUAUUUAAUGCAAAAUAAUAAAUAUUGAGAUUCUUGGUUGUACAUUAUAAAAUGCAUCACAGAGCGAUUUAUUGAUGCAAAGGAACCGUUUUGGCUCAUGUAAGUGAAAAGUCUAGGAGUCACAUCUUUAGGCAUCGCUGGAUCCAGGUGCUGAAAUGAUGUCAUCAGGCCCAAAAUGUCUCUUUAUUGCUUGAUUCUGCUUUCCUGAGUUGGUAUCAACUAGGAGACUCUCUCUACAUGCUCCAUGGCAGCUCCAGGCUCACACAUACUUAGUAUUAAGAUUUUCUCCUCUUCUUUAAUAUAAAGGAAAUUCAGCUAGAUGAUCUUUAGUUCAAAAUUCUGUGAUAUAUAAAUAACUCGAAAUAACUGCUAACAGUUAAUGAAACAUCUGAUUCAGUAAAGAUAAUGGUUAUUUACAAUUGAGUAUUGCAUAUUAAAAAGUUCAUUAAAGGUUUAUUUUUAUAGUUAUUUCAAAUUUGCCUUUUGCAUUUUUAGUAACUAUGAGUGAUACAAGCAAAACUACAACCUAGCACAAGUUGAAGUAUCACAAAUUUCAAGUCAAUUGCUACCAAAUUAGAUUUUAAUAUAAUUUAGAUACUAAUAUUAGUGUAUAUGUGAAAAGUGUUUGCUAAUGGGAAAUUUAGCCCAUUAAUUGUCAAUCAACAGUCAAGAUUUAGAAACCUCCUUUUUUACAAGAAACAAGUAGAAACUGGGAUGGGAGAAUAACAUUAGCAAUUGCAAACCUCAGUUCGUUCCAUUAAAAUGUUGAUUGCCUUGGGAAUAGAUGCUGUCACAGGAGAAAAAAGUGUAAAUUCAAACACUUAAGGAAUAAACUCUUAUAAAGUACAAUGUGAUUUAUCAAUUAAUUAAAUUUGAAUUCCAUGGAAUGAAAUAUAAGUCAACAAGUAUGACAGUUUGCUUGUUUAUUAUGGAAGAAUCAUUAAUAAUUUGAUAAUUAAAUGGUCCUGAAUGGUUAGCCAUGUUCUCCGCAUUUAAAUAAAUAGUAUAAACAUAAAUGAAAAUAUUAAAGUAAUUUCAACGUGAUAGAGACCACUUAUUUUUAGUUCAGGUAGAGUUCCAACCUAAUGGUAAUUAAGAUUCCAGAUCCGAAAGAUGUCAUGUGAAUAUUGCUCUGAAAAACCAAAAUUAAAGCUUUCUUAAAGAUGCUGUGUAGGGCUGAGAGGUUUUUCACUUGUACCAGUGAGAGCUGCAUCAUUAAUAGUCUUCAAAUUCAGCAAGUUCUGCCUCUAGAGAGCACCAGAGCAGCUACUUAUGAUUUGUUUCAUGACUCUGAAACUAUUACUCCCUCCAAUGGCUCUACAAAGCCAAUAUAAUGUGCACUUGGAUACCUAGUCCCUCAUGGCUACUGCACAAUGCUUAGGUUGUUUAUAUUUGGAAGUCAGAAAAACAUGUUGCUUGAAAGGCAUUAAGAUGCAUGGGGUCACUUAAAGCUAUUGACUAUAUUUUCAUUCUCUGUUGGCACUUAGGGAAGGCAUUUCCAGAUAAAUGUCUUCGGUAUGGCUAGUCAUUAGUUCUCUAAUCUGUAAUUUAGACACUGCUGUCAAACUAAAACAUCCAGUCCUUUGUUAAGCUCUGUUUUUUAUCACUUGCCCUAAGCUAUGAGCAAAAUGCCUACAUUGACAAUAACACAUUUAUUAAAUUGCUAUAUCAACGUAUUCACCACUCAGUCCAGCCUAGUGUUGCUAUUAAACUUUAGAUGUCUCUCCUAUGGGCUCUCAUAUCACCCAAUACAUAUCUUCACCAUGUCAGUAUUUACUUGCUGGGGAGGUGGCCUUACCCUACACUUGAAUUUCUCAAAGCCUGUCUUAAAGACUAGUAUCUUUUAAGUCUUUGGUUACAUCUAAGUUCCCAGCACUUAGCAGUGUCUGGCAUUUGGUAACUCUCAUUGUUGAACAGAUUGUUGCAAAGUUACUUGUUUUCCUUCCAUGGCACCAACCUUAAAGGUUAGAAUCACCAUUCCAAAAUUUCCUUUCCAUAAAUUUAUGUACAUCUUUUGAAACUCUGUACUUCCAGCCUUUAUCAUAUCUGAAAAUCUGACAUGAAAAUGUGUCAGCUCAGUUUAAUUACUGCAAUAGCUUCCUAACUUGAAACAAUUUGCCUCCAGUUUCUCCUUCAGGUUACCAAUUCUGUUCAAUGCAUCCAAAUUCAUGUUCCCUUAAACGUCUUAGAUUUUUAAUCCCCUAAAAUCAACUUGCUGCUCUAAGAAUAAAGUAUUAACUUUGCACUAGUAUUGAAGGCCAUCUCUUCCCUUCUCACUAAUUUUCAAUGAAAAUUUUAUUUAGAUAGUGAGUUGGGGGUCCCCAAGAUCAUACUGAGGUUCAUUGAUACACUUGGAAUCAUAGGACUCAGAAAAGCUGCUAUGCUCCCAGUUGCAGAUUAUAGUGAGAGGAUAUAGAUUAAAAUCAGUAAAUGGAAAAGGUGUGCAGGGUGAAAAUCAGGAGAAACCAGGCACAAACUUCAAGAUGUCCUCUCCCAGUGGAGCUGCACAGACAGCACCUAGUUCAGCAACGGUGUUUACCAACACAUGCAAAGUAUUGCUAAUAAGCUCUCUUGAGCCUUGGUGUUCAGGGUUUUUAUGAGGGUUCAGUCACAUAAAUAUUCAGUUCCCUCAUAACUGACCUUAGCUCCUGAAUCUCGUUUCCCAGAGCUUAAACUGUAACAGCAAGGCCUAUGGUCUCAGGCAUACAAAAGCACUCUUAACAGGUAAGACAUCCCAAGGACUCAAGAGAUUUUCUUCCAGGAACUGGUGAAGGACAGGUCCUUUCUUUGCAAUAAAAAGGAUUUGAGCCUUUACUGUACAGAGAGGUCAGUCUACUCCUUAUUACUCAACCACAUCUUACUCCUUCUUGCCUUCCUGUCUGCCAAUUUGAAGUUUUCCUAACCAUCUAUGGAAAUCCUUACUAUCCUUAGGGUCAAGCACAAGUCAUCCAUUUCCAUGAAGAUUCUCCUCCAAUCUCUCCCAUAUUGCUAUGCAUAGAGGAAAAUGCAUCUUUGCCAUGCAUGGGAAGCUUUUAUAUAUUGCCUUCAAACACCAGUUUACCGGGCAUGUCAUCUCUGUUACUGUCAUGCAGUAAAUACUCAGGAAAUGAAGGAUUACUAAUGAGUUGUUAAGGUUUAUUCUUCUUUCUUUAAUGUAGAAUUUCAUUUGACCUAAAAUUAUCCUUCCAAUCUUCAUAGAAUAUUUGGUUUUAAUAUACAAAAUUAAAUAUGCAAGCUCUUAUCCAUUCUUCAUUUCAGAUCUCUGGCAUAUUCUCAUUUCUCAUUUAUCUUUUCACACCAAAGAAAUCUAACCUUUUUAUAACUUAAUCACUUUGACUCUGGUUGCUCCUUUCUGUACUUUCUCUGCCUCGUGUUACUUUUAAAAAUUUGAUCAAAUUUUUAAUUUUAAAAUAUGUGAUUAAAAACAUCACAUUACCUUUGCACCAGGGAAGCAUACUUUCAUUUACAAUAAAUUUCCAGUCCUGUCCAGAAUUUUCAUAGUUUUUCUUUUCACCAAAAUUAUCAGGGAAUGCUAUCAAUUACUUCUUAGUACUUUUCCUAGGCCACAAUAAAUAAUUUGGAGUCCAUCAUUCAAUAUCAGGAUAAUUGUUAGCUAUCAUUAAUAUUGACAAAUUAGUAUGUUCUAGGGAGUGCUAACUGCUUAUCUUAAUCUUGACAGUACAAGGAAGCAGGUACUCAUUUUCAUAGCAACUAAGACAUGGUAAGAUUAAUAUGCUAAGCUCUGCAAACUAAGUAUGACUCCAGAGUCUGUGCCUUUCACUGCCAUGCUACACUGGACUAGCCCAAGACCCUAAUCAACAAUUUCCUUUUAAAAAUCAUACCUCCUAUGAGUGUGAAUUGAAGUGUCUCUGUAAUUAGCAGAAUCACAAUUAAAAUAAAGCUUAUCCAAGUCAGAUUCAGAGAGCUAUUUUUUAAAAUAAAAAUUUAAAUUUUAAAAUAAAAAAUUUAACUUUUAACUAUCAUUGUGAUCACUUUCAGGGCAUUUAUUUUAAAAUGUGAAAUAAGCCAUAGUGCAGCAUUUUCUGGCAACUUGUAUCAGUUAAUGAGUUUUCUAGAGUAUGAUUUAUUAUAAUCAUUUUGUUGAUAUGAGAUGAAACAUGAUAGCUUGUGCAUAUUUUCAUAUAUCAAACAGAAACAUAUUAGUUUCCUGCCUGUUCCCCACCCCAACACACACUAGUUUUUAAUACAAGACACAAUGUAUUGUGUCCCUGGAGUUGUCUCCCCACCCACCCUGACUCCUGGAUUCUUUUUAACGUAUUUCAAAUGUAAUAACAAUUUGGUACCAUACUAAUUAUAUGGCAUUUGUAAAGCCAGUAUAUGUGGAAAAAAAAAAAAAACCUACAUAAUAGCAAAAUAUAUGCAGUGUAAUUGAACAUUACCCUAAAGAGAAGAGAGAAAGCGUAUCAUAUCCUUGUAGGGACAUUGAUGGGAAUUUGAUACCAGUUGUAGCAAUGCUUGAUCUGUGCCAUUUCUAACAAGUAAUACUCUGUAAAAUAAAAGGACUUAGGCUGGGCGUGGUGGUUCAUGCCUGUAAUUCCAGCACUUUGGGACGCCGAAGUGGGCAGAUCACGAGGUCAGGAGAUCAAGACCAUCCUGGCCAACAUGGUGAAACCCCGUCUCUACUAAAACAAAAAAAUUAGCCAGGUGUGGUGGCGCGUGCCUGUAGUCCCAGCUACUCGGGAGGCUAAGGCAGGGGAAUCGCUUGAACCCAGGAUGCGGAGGUUGUAGUGAGCCAAGAUUGCACCACUGCACUCCAGCCUGGCGAAAGAGCAAGAAGUGUCUCAAAAAUAAAUAAAUAAAUAAAUAAAUAAAUAAAUAAAUAAAUAAAUAAAAAUUAAAGGACUUAAAAAAAAAGAAACAUUAAAAAAAGAAGGAAAUGAAAAGGCAUAACAAAAAACUAACACAAAAAUUGAGUUAAAAAAAAACUUAAUGCCAAAACCAAGAAGAGGUCGGAAAGGUAUCUGGAAGAACAAUUCUCAGCUCCUUCAUUCCCCAGAUGAUGCCAGUAAGUAGGAGAUGGCAUACUGUUAACUAAUGAAAGAAAUUCUCCUGGUGAAGUCCUAUUUCGCCUUUAUCCUUAGAAUUAUGCAACCUACAGACUUAGCAAUCUUAAAAGAAAAAAAAUAGAUGGGGAAAAUAAUUGACUUGAAUUAUAUUUAUUUUAAAAAGACUGUUUCUAGUUGUUUUGAAUGAAUCCAGAACCCAUAAAUUAUAUCCCAGAAUACUGAAAGAAUCUGAUGAAAUAACACGACCUUCGACAGUAAAUCUGAGUCAAGAUGAUUUGGUUGAGGUAGAUACAGACAGAUAGAAGCUUCACAAGCACAAGAAUACUGUUCCCUGGCCUAUCCACAGCUUUGAGCAUACUGCCUGGCAUGUAUUAAUGGCUUGAUAAGUGUCCCUGACAAAAUUCCAAAAUCUAUUUUUUUGAAGUUUGUGGACAGGUAGAAAAGAAAGCAAUGGCCACUAGGAGGCAGCAUCGAUUUAUGAAGACUAAGCACGUCUCAUGGUUUCCCACUAUACAGAGGAAUGAAGAUCACAUCAAAGCAUCUGACCAAAUCUCACAUCAAUAAUCCCUAUAAACAGGAUGGAGCAUAAGUACUAGAUAUCUCACAAUUAAAUGAAUUUGUCGCUAGUUUAAUGGGAGCACUAUGCUAUUUAAUGGGUAUCAAUCUAAAUGGAGAUAGCUUUACCUUAUCAACAUUUUUUUCAGUAUUACAUGUAGACAGAAAGGAAUUUUUAUCAAAUUUGCCCAUGACUUAAAACUGAGAUUCACAGCCCAAGUUUUUUUAAACCCAAAAUAAGUAAAAUUUAAUUUAAUAAAAUUAAAUCUAUAUGAGGUAAUGACUAUACAAGUACAGAAUGGAGAGGUUCCUCUUUACAUGUGAAAGACCUUUGAGUUUACACUUUCAAACUCCUUGAGUCAAGAAUAUUCGCUGACAUAGAAACAAAUUUUAUUGUACAUUUCUUAAUACUGUAAACUUACACGUACUUCCCACAUAACCUCAAUUCCUCAUCUAUUCUCUUGUAGAGAUAUGGUAGUCAGUGGGACAGACGCUUAAAAAGCUGACAAGACCUAUAUUUUUAACUUUUAUACAUUGGCCUUUGACUACCUGGAAUAGUAUUAAAUAGCUGUUUACGGUUAUGUCCUCAAAAUCAUACCAAAUGUUUAAAAUGCAGUCUAAUGCUACUUUUUACAACCCAAGAAGAUAGCUGUUAUUAUCCUUAUCUUGAAUAAGAUCCUGUGUUUGGGAACUGCGUUAGAUCAUCUGAAUAUUUCUCAUCAGGCUUCUGAUAGAUGCUUGAUAGCAGAUUUUAAGACUAUACUUUCUGAUAACAGGCAGUAUUGUAUAAAAAGCUGAAAGACCUAGUUGAAUUUGAGCACUGUUACUUACUAGUGCUACCUCUUACAAGUCACUUGACCCUGCUGAGCCUCAAUUUUCCCAUAUAUAAAAUGAUCAUUGUAAGCACUCAGCACCAGGCCUGGCACAUGAUAUGCACUCAAUAAAUACUACCUACUAAUUUUGAAGAUGAAGGCCCAGAAUAUACUAACUAUAUUGUCAGUUAAGAGUUGCCUUACAACCCUGGCUACUAAAUUGUCUGGUUCACAUGCCAUUACAAAGGGCCUUUACUUUCUCAUUCCCAUGAUGAAUCUCAGGUUACACGGCUGAGGAAAAUGUUGACAUCGUUAUUCUGUAUUUGCAUUAAAUACCAUUUAAAAGUUGUUUUUAUCAUACUUAUAUCUCACAUUAUUACCUUAAAAAUUCCGAAGGAUGUUAUAAAGUUGUUAAACAGGAUGUUUAAGCAAAUAUUAGUAAAACUUUCUCUCUUGCUCUUCUGGGAUCAAGAUUUGUAAUAUUUAGCCAAAACUGUCAGCAUGUGAGGCCAAGUUACCAAAGUGCUUUGACAUAAAAGCAAUGUUAUUUUAAACUAUUAGUUUAGAUAGUAUCUUGUCAGUUAAAAAAAAAAAAGUCCCUUUUGCAGUUAAUUGCCCUUUCCAAAUAACUUUAAUGAAAAUAUCUUGCCAAGAAACAUCUCUUUGAUUCAUUAAGCUGGGUUUAGAUUGUGCCUGAGUCACAAAGCACAGAGGUAAUUACAGGUUGAAAUUGAUUUGCGCCUCUUUAUAAAUAAGAACUGAUUAUAGAAUAAAUGUCUCAUUAAAUAUAAAAUAUUGACACUGUAUAUUAAUUAUGUUACUACUCAUGGUUGUGGCUCCCUUACAAUUCUCAUGCAAAAAUAAAUCCAAUUUUAAUCGGUUGUGAGAAAACAGUCCACCAUGUGCUUGUAUCCAGGAAUAAAGAAUUACAUAGAUUAUCUGGCAUAUUGUCAUCACAUCCUCUGUAACUAUUCAUAAAAACAAUAAUUCACAUUUUGGGAAUGCUUUUUCCAACAUCAAUCAGGAAAAUACAGCUUUAUAAGGUGUUUCAGAUUGCAAGAAUACAUCACAUUAGAAACCCAUUAUCAUGAGGGACAGGACUGGUUUUUAUUUGUUUAUGUGUAAUGUGUUGAUAUGCCAAGUAUUUUGAGAAAAGAUCUGACUCUGGACUUCAUUUGUACUGUUAGAAUGCAUUUUUCUUAGCAACUGAACAAUGUGUAUUCUUAUUUAAUUUUUGGAAUUACUUUACCAAUUCAAAAUGCCAUAUACUACAAUAUUUCAUUCACAGUCCCUAAAUUUGCCUGUUUGCCUUACCCACUUUCCAUCAUUUUAUUAAUAAAUUGAUUAUAAAACAUUAUACUACAAGUCAAGUACUUAUGAAUAGCCAAUACUAGCUAACUUCUCUAAUUCUCCCAGAGACAGCCCUUAACAUCAACCAAAUAAUUCUAGAGAAUAGUGCUUCUCCCCUUAUAAGGCUGAUUUGAGUGAAGAUAUUUUCCUCCCCCAAAAAGCUAUUAUGUUUAAUAAGUAUGAAGUUUAAAAUAUUUUAAAAUAUGAAUGAAACCCACCUCUAAACUCUCUAUAAGGAUCUAUUCCAGAAUUUAUACAAAUUGUUCAUUUUUUCUUAUUGAACUUGUAUUAAGCCAAGGGUCAGCAACUAUGCCUUCAAGCCCAAUCCAACCCCCACCUCCAUUUUUAUAAAUGAAGUUUUACUGGAAGACAGCCACUAUUCAUUUAUGUAUUAUCUAUGGUUAUUUGUAGGCCACAAUAGCAGAGGUGAGUAGCUGUGACAGACCACAUGGCCUUCAAAGCCUAAAAGACUAUCUGGAUCUUCAUAGAAAAAGCUUGCCAACUACUAUUUUUAAGCACUUUCAUAAAAACAAAACAAAUAAACUAUUUAAAUUUGUUUCAAUUACAAGGAUGUAAAUAUUUUUCUAUGUUCUUCUCAUCACAAAGACACACACUUGGGCCUAUACAUGAGUUGAUCAGAAAUUUUAUGGACUAGCCUGAAUAUCUAAACACUACUUACAUUGUUUCUUUCAAUUAUUUAAAAAACUGAGUUGACGUCUUCUGAAAUCAGGUUUAUGGAUAAUGAAUCAUGGAAAAUUGCUGACAAUAAUAGCUAGCACUACUUCAAUACAAACUUAGAGUUUAUUUACUCACAUUUAUAAACUAACUUUAACAUUAGAAAUUCUCCAAUUCUUAAA
rnacentral:lncRNA from 10 species